rnacentral:piRNA from 1 species
UGGGUGCAGUCUGAUAUCUGCCACAAAGC